CAGUAUUUCGCGAACAACGCGAGAUAAGGUGCUCAGAAGGCAGGGCAAGAGCGGUGACUACAGGCAACGAGACACCCCAGCUGUGCAGAGUAACUGAGGGCUCCCCCUGGCUGUCGGUACCUGCUACUGCGCUGGCAUGCCAGGUUCUCUUGGCCUUUCCCCACACCGCCAGUGUGUGCGGGUGCCUUUCCCUCCGCUACUGACUCUCCGCUGCAGAUGGCGCCACAUCUGGGGAGCACUGCACGGCUUCCAUCACGCACAUCUGUCGCCAGACCCGUCCGUCUCGGGCCCCAUGAGCACAGCUGCUGGCCUCGGAUGACGGACGUGGGUCUCCUAGUUACGCCACA